GCUGCCCCUUCCCUCCGUUGUGCUUUGCUUGCGCCUGGAAGGAAGGAAGGCAGGAAGGAAGGAAGGCAGUCGCUCUCGGCGGCCAUUUGGCCCCUGGCAGGUUUAUCUGCGCGCCGCAGGCGCUUGCCCCAUAAGUCGCUCUGCUUUUUUCACCCCACACCAACGGUAUCUUCAUAUCCAGAAUAUUCAGCAGCAUUGCUACAUGGUGGCAGGAGAAGAGCAGCUAUAAGAAAUUUUCCAUCCAGAAUUGUGAGAUGAAGAGACUUGUGCAUUUUCUGGCCACUAACAAUGUAUGUUGAAGAUGUGCCUAUAUUCACAGAAGAACGUAUUGGUGAACACCUUCUGGGGUCAUUUAGCAGGCAUAGGCUUUUUCUUGAAGUCUGCAGGGCUGUAAAAAAUAGCUCUUUCCACUGGGGGCCACUGCUACAUAGGAGGAGAAGAGGAAAAUGGGAGCUGCCUGCAGGGACCAGAGUCAACACUGGUAUUGGAGCAACCUGCAGGAGAGAAGCCAGGAGUUGCCAAUGGAGCUUCCCCUUGAAGAAGGGAACCUAGCAUCAGAGGAAAUGAAAUUUGGAGAGAGCAAGCAUAAGAACUAGGCACUAGUCAAAACAGAGCUUCAGUGUGACUUAAGUGGUGUAUUGUCUUUGUACUAGUCCUCUGCACAAGGGUUGACCUCUCCUGGUAAGAAGAGGAUCAGGUAACUAUUUUCAGGGAGUAGAGAAAGAGUGAGAGAUAUAGGGCAAGUGGAGAUUGAGAGGAAUUGGAAAAUAGCAGAUGGGUGAGGGAAACACAUUGAAAAGCAAAACUAGUGAUUUUUUUUAAAUGUCAAAACACUUCUUGCUUUAAAGAUGGUUAAACAACUAAAUUUUCUCCUAACAUUACUCCUCCAUGUUAGCAGCUGCCACAGAGGAACUGAAUAAUUGUGGUUUCAGAGUAGCAGCCGUGUGAGCGAAGAGAUGAUCCACCAGGCACUUCCAUGACUAUGACGUGGCUCACACAAUAUGAAACUUGGAGCACUUUUGGACUAGAUGCCCAGAGGGCUUUUCCAGCUCUAUCCUCCCUAAAAAUUAAGGAUGGCGUUUGAGUCUUAUGCUAAUUUGUAAUGAAACAAGUAUAAUUUUCCCCUCCUCCCCAAAAUACCCAGAGUUAUAAACCUGCCUGGAAAAUACCAAUAUAAAAAGCAAAUCCAUUUUCAUUUGCAGGACUACAAAAAAGCAUUUGUAACCAUUGCCAUAUACAUUGAUUGAUAGAUUC